rnacentral:rRNA from 1 species
UCCGGAGGGAGCUAGCGUUGUUCGGAAUUACUGGGCGUAAAGCGCACGUAGGCGGCUUUUUAAGUCAGGGGUGAAAUCCCGGGGCUCAACCCCGGAACUGCCCUUGAAACUGGAGAGCUAGAAUCUUGGAGAGGCGAGUGGAAUUCCGAGUGUAGAGGUGAAAUUCGUAGAUAUUCGGAAGAACACCAGUGGCGAAGGCGACUCGCUGGACAAGUAUUGACGCUGAGGUGCGAAAGCGUGGGGAGCAAACAGG